rnacentral:rRNA from 1 species
AUUGAACGCUGGUGGCAGGCCUAACACAUGCAAGUCGAGCGGAUGAAGGGAGCUUGCUCCUGGAUUCAGCGGCGGACGGGUGAGUAAUGCCUAGGAAUCUGCCUGGUAGUGGGGGAUAACGUCCGGAAACGGGCGCUAAUACCGCAUACGUCCUGAGGGAGAAAGUGGGGGAUCUUCGGACCUCACGCUAUCAGAUGAGCCUAGGUCGGAUUAGCUAGUUGGUGGGGUAAAGGCCUACCAAGGCGACGAUCCGUAACUGGUCUGAGAGGAUGAUCAGUCACACUGGAACUGAGGCACGGUCCAGACUCCUACGGGAGGCAGCAGUGGGGAAGAUUGGACAAUGGGCGAAAGCCUGAUCCAGCCAUGCCGCGUGUGUGAAGAAGGUCUUCGGAUUGUAAAGCACUUUAAGUUGGGAGGAAGGGCAGUAAGUUAAUACCUUGCUGUUUUGACGUUACCAACAGAAUAAGCACCGGCUAACUUCGUG